GAGAGAUAGUGGAGUUGAACAUGGCAGGCUGUAAACCUGUUUACGGGCAGGUGUGCCCUCUCACUUA
rnacentral:tRNA from 1 species